CAGAAUUGUUAGUUGUUCUGGUACAGCUCACUUAUCUGGACCUUUUUUCCUUCUUUUUUUCUUUCAGGAUGACCACUGCCUGCUUAUCCUGGCUUGAAAGGAGCACAGGACACAAAGUCAGCUAUUUCUAUACCUGUCUGACUGGAUCUGAUGUCUGCCAGAGACUGUUCCUCAUCGGCCGGGCCCUGGAGGACACUGAGCUGGCAAAUCAGAUGCACACGACUUGCCUGGCUGUGCUGCGUCCAAGCUCUGCCUUCCUGCAAUGUAGGCUCUCCCCUUGAAGUUCACUGCAGCAUUCUGGGAUAUUUGGGAGGAAAAAAUUCGGAAAACAAGUGUCAAAGAAGUCUCUUCAGCAGUAAAACUGAUCACAUUAUUGCAGCAAAAAACUCACAAGACAAAGUGAACAGUGUGCUCAUGCAGCUGGAUAUUUCCAUGAAUGACUCAAAUAAAGUAUCAGUUGUUUAAAAAUGAAAACUCUUCAGUGAACUAACACUUUACAGUAAAACCUCCAAUAAAAAUGUGCUUUCCUUUUUUUUUAAUGCUGUGACUGAAGUUAUUUAGAUAAAAUUUGGGGUCCACCCUCACAUCUCUAUGUAAAACAAAACAAAAAAAGUCAGACAGAAGCUGGAAUAAUGUUAUAUGGAUUCAGAGAAAGCAGAGACUCAAACUGAUGACAAUUUAAAGAGAAAUUGAAAGGAAAUAUCAGUCUGGAAAACUGAAUAAAUGAGAUGCACUGUAUUUGGACCCUGUUGGACUCUGUUUCAGACUCUCAGAAUGCCUCCUCUUGGCAAAGCACUACACUGCCUAUCACUAUUUUUUGAGCU
ensembl:lncRNA